AAAAAAAUAUUUCUUGGGGCAGGAUCAAGUGAAUAGAGAGGGUAGGGCACAGAGGUCAUGCUGCUUUUGGUCAAAAACUGCUGAACACUCCGCACUGUGU